rnacentral:rRNA from 1 species
UACAGAGGUGUCAAACGUUGUCCGGAAUUACUGGGCGUAAAGGGCGCGUAGGCGGCCUUAUAAGUCAUAUGUGAAAGCUCUGGGCUCAACCCAGGAAUUGCAUGUGAUACUGUAAGGCUUGAGUUCGGUAGAGGAGGGCGGAAUUCCAGGUGUAGCGGUGGAAUGCGUAGAUAUCUGGAGGAACACCCGUGGCGAAGGCGGCUCUCUGGUCCGAAACUGACGCUGAGGUGCGAAAGCUAGGGUAGCAAACAGG